CCUACGGGAGGCAGCAGUGGGGAAUUUUGGACAAUGGGCGAAAGCCUGAUCCAGCAAUGCCGCGUGAGUGAAGAAGGCCUUCGGGUUGUAAAGCUCUUUUGUCAGGGAAGAAACGGUGUGGGCUAAUAUCCUGCACUAAUGACGGUACCUGAAGAAUAAGCACCGGCUAACUACGUGCCAGCAGCCGCGGUAAUACGUAGGGUGCAAGCGUUAAUCGGAAUUACUGGGCGUAAAGCGUGCGCAGGCGGUUUUGUAAGUCUGUCGUGAAAUCCCCGGGCUCAACCUGGGAAUUGCGAUGGAGACUGCAAGGCUAGAAUCUGGCAGAGGGGGGUAGAAUUCCACGUGUAGCAGUGAAAUGCGUAGAGAUGUGGAGGAACACCGAUGGCGAAGGCAGCCCCCUGGGUCAAGAUUGACGCUCAUGCACGAAAGCGUGGGGAGCAAACAGGAUUAGAUACCCUGGUAGUCCACGCCCUAAACGAUGUCUACUAGUUGUCGGGUUUUAAUUAACUUGGUAACGCAGCUAACGCGUGAAGUAGACCGCCUGGGGAGUACGGUCGCAAGAUUAAAACCGUUAAAGUGUAAUUCGGAGCGUGAGAGCGACGACGACGACGACGAGGAGGAGG
rnacentral:rRNA from 1 species